rnacentral:tRNA from 1 species
GGAGAGUUGCCAGAGUGGUCGAAUGGACUCGUCUUGAAAACGAGCGUCCCGCAAGGGACCAGGGGUUCGAAUCCCUUACUCUCCG